rnacentral:lncRNA from 1 species
UUCAUUUAAAACCAUGCAAAUAGAAUGUCCCUGUUAUUUUCUAUAUAAAUAUCAAUUUUGUAGGUGAACAUUAUGUAUCUUAUUAUUGUAAUGAGAAAGUUUCACCCUCUUUUUGUAGUAGACUGUUUUUUCCCCAUCUCAAUCAUAGAUUGCAAAAACCUAAUGAGCAAGGUUUUAAAUCCUGUGGGAUGAGGUCAUCUUGGUUUUUCUGUGGAUAAGGACGUGCAAGAUGCACCGCCGUCCUGCCCCGUCAUGACACUUGGGACAGAAAUGUCCCAAAACAUGCCGAUCAGGUCAUUGAGAUGCCCAUUCUGACACUUGGGAUGGUACUGUAUCUUGGCAUCCUGCAAGAUGUCCCACCCGGAUUUGAAACUAUGCUAAUGAGUGCUGAACUACACCAAAAUAGUAUAAAUGGGAUGGUGUAACCAGUAGUAGAAAGUAAAUUUGAUUAAAAAAAUCAUAGGCUAUGGAAGAAACUCCAAAAGUGAGCAGAGGUGGGCUUGCAGGGAAGGAGACUUAUGGCCAUGGAAUGCCGUACGGUCCGGCCGUGGACCGGUACCGGAACGGAUAAAAAACCGG